rnacentral:rRNA from 1 species
AGGACGAACGCUGGCGGCGUGCUUAACACAUGCAAGUCGAGCGGAAAGGCCCUUCGGGGUACUCGAGCGGCGAACGGGUGAGUAACACGUGAGUAAUCUGCCCCUAGCUCUGGGAUAGCUCCGGGAAACCGGGAUUAAUACCAGAUACGACCACUUUAGACAUCUGUUGUGGUGGAAAGAAUUUUGGCUAGGGAUGAGCUCGCGGCCUAUCAGCUUGUUGGUGAGGUAACGGCUCACCAAGGCGACGACGGGUAGCCGGCCUGAGAGGGCGACCGGCCACACUGGGACUGAGACACGGCCCAGACUCCUACGGGAGGCAGCAGUGGGGAAUAUUGCGCAAAUGGGCGAAAGCCUGACGCAGCGACGCCGCGUGGGGGAUGAAGGCCUUCGGGUUGUAAACCCUUUCAGCAGGACGAAGCGAAAGUGACGGUACCUGCAGAAGAAGCGCCGGCUAACUACGUGCCAGCAGCCGC